GCGGGUAUAGCUUAGUGGUAAAGCUCCAUCCUUCCAAGUUGGCUACGUGGGUUCGAUUCCCACUACCCGCUCCA
rnacentral:tRNA from 1 species